rnacentral:rRNA from 1 species
GUGCCAGCCGCCGCGGUAAUACCGGCAGCCCGAGUGAUGGCCGAUCUUAUUGGGCCUAAAGCGUCCGUAGCUGGCCGACCAAGUCUCCCGGGAAAUCCACCCGCUUAACGGGUGGGCGUCCGGCGGCAACUGCUCGGCUUGGGACCGGAGGACCCGAGGGGUACGUCCGGGGUAGGAGUGAAAUCCCGUAAUCCCGGACGGACCGCCGGUGGCGAAAGCGCCUCGGGAGGACGGAUCCGACGGUGAGGGACGAAAGCUAGGGUCUCGAACCGGAUUAGAAACCCCUGUAGUCC